rfam:Owenweeksia hongkongensis DSM 17368, complete genome.
GCUCGCGUGGAAAGAUUUGGGCUGAUUGCAACCACAUAAAAAAAUGCUAAAAACAGUGCU